rnacentral:rRNA from 1 species
CCUACGGGUGGCAGCAGUGGGGAAUAUUGCGCAAUGGGCGAAAGCCUGACGCAGCGACGCCGCGUGAGGGAUGAAGGUCUUCGGAUCGUAAACCUCUGUCAGCAGGGAAGAACGGUCACUGUGCUAAUCAGCAGUGAAUUGACGGUACCUGCAAAGGAAGCACCGGCUAACUCCGUGCCAGCAGCCGCGGUAAUACGGAGGGUGCGAGCGUUAAUCGGAAUUACUGGGCGUAAAGCGCUCGUAGGCGGGAUGUCAAGUCAAGGGGGAAAUCCCCGCGCUCAACGUGGGAACUGCCUUUGAAACUGGUAAACUGGAGUGUGUGAGAGGAUAGUGGAAUUCCAGGGGUAGGAGUGAAAUCCGUAGAUAUCUGGAGGAACAUCAGUGGCGAAGGCGACUAUCUGGCACAUAACUGACGCUGAGGAGCGAAAGCGUGGGUAGCAAACAGGAUUAGAUACCCUAGUAGUC